AAGAGGAAGCAGGUGGGAGGUGAUACAGGCACCCUGCUCGAAAUAGUUGUCUAUUUCUACAGUAAUACCAGCUAUUGCCUGAUCCUGGUGUCCUAGAGAUUGCUAGUCUCCCUUGCUUUUUGACAGCUUCAUUAAACAGCUGGAAGCUUUUGCGGGAAGAAAAUGUGCUUUCCUUCAGUUUGGCAACCCUGAAUAAAAACCUACAACAAAGAGCAACUUGAGUCGAGAUCAACGGCACGUGGAGGCAAAAAUAUUUUAUAAAAGCAGGUACGUGUUUGAGCCAAGACGGCCGAGUAGAAAGCCAUGGUGGAAACCAUCCUGGCACCGUGGACAAUUGCCUUGGUCAUCUUUGCCACAGUGUUCGUGAUGAGCUUUCUGAUGUUCCUCCCUCCGGCUGUCGUGCUGAUCUGCAGGAGGAAGACCUUGUCACAGAUCUCUUUGGAGGGAGCCGUUUAGCCGGCCUCGUUGAAGAUGACUGCGUGAGCACGGGGACUUGACGAUGCUUGAGAAGCUCCAUAAUAAAUGUGGAGCAGGCUUUGCCUCCUCUGAUAUAUGCAAAACGACGGAUGCUGAUAUUCAGGAUCCUGGAUAUAAAACAACAUCUGAGACUUUUGAUGCCCAAGUAACUAUCCUCUCUGCUUUGUUCCAUUUUCUCUUUGAGAAUAUCAGUGGAUGAAAAGAAAG